rnacentral:rRNA from 1 species
GAUGAACGCUGGCGGCGCGCCUAAUACAUGCAAGUCGAGCGAACAGACGAGGAGCUUGCUCCUCUGACGUUAGCGGCGGACGGGUGAGUAACACGUGGAUAACCUACCUAUAAGACUGGGAUAACUUCGGGAAACCGGAGCUAAUACCGGAUAAUAUAUUGAACCGCAUGGUUCAAUAGUGAAAGACGGUUUUGCUGUCACUUAUAGAUGGAUCCGCGCCGCAUUAGCUAGUUGGUAAGGUAACGGCUUACCAAGGCAACGAUGCGUAGCCGACCUGAGAGGGGGAUCGGCCACACUGGAACUGGGACACGGUCCAGACUCCUACGGGAGGCAGCAGUAGGGAAUCUUCCGCAAUGGGCGAAAGCCUGACGGAGCAACGCCGCGUGAGUGAUGAAGGUCUUCGGAUCGUAAAACUCUGUUAUUAGGGAAGAACAAAUGUGUAAGUAACUAUGCACGUCUUGACGGUACCUAAUCAGAAAGCCACGGCUAACUACGUG